rnacentral:tRNA from 1 species
UCCCUGGUGGCUCAGAUGGUAAAGAAUCCACCUGCAAUGCGGGAGACCCAGGUUCGAUCCCUGGGUUGGGAA